AUGUUGGUCAAGCUGGUAGUUGGGGACUUAGUUCUCAAUGUUAUCAACGCGUAUGCCCCGCAAGUAGGGCACAAUGAGAACACCAAGAGGGAGUUCUUGGAAGGCUUGGAGAACAUGGUUAGGAGUGUACUGAUUGGCGAGAAGCUCUUCAUAGGAGGAGACCUCAAUGGCCACGUGGGUACAUCUAACACAGGUUUUGAAGGGGUGCAUGGGGGCUUUGGUUAUGGCAUCAGAAAUCAAGGAGAUGUCUUAAGCUUUGCUCUAGCCUACGACAUGAUCGUAGCUAACACCCUCUUUAAAUAG
rnacentral:rRNA from 1 species